ensembl:lncRNA
CAGCUGGCCCGGGCAGCUGCUCCUGGGGCUCCGGAUGGGCGGACAAAGCCAGGCGGCCUUGGCAGCCCCAGAGCCGGAACCCCAAAGCCCUGAGGCAGGGGGGGACUGCGACCCAGGAGAACCCUGAGCUGGAGGCCUGUCCUUGCCAGCGAUCAGACCUUCCGACCCCACCAGGGUCAGAGCUGCCUGGGCCUGAGGGGGCCCUGCCCUGAGGAGGACGCCGAGGCUUUGAGCAGGCCCCCGACAGCUGCUCGCGGGAGCCGCCUCCCGACACCCGAGCCCCGCCGGCGCCUCGCGCUCCCGGCUCUUGGCU